rnacentral:tRNA from 1 species
GCGGGAGUAGCUCAGGGGUAGAGCAUCUGCUUGCCAAGCAGAGGGUCGUCGGUUCAAAUCCGAUUUCCCGCUCCA